rnacentral:rRNA from 1 species
AACGAACGCUGGCGGCGCGUCUUAAGCAUGCAAGUCGAGCGGCAAGGGGAGCAAUCCCCCUAGAGCGGCGGACUGGUGAGUAACACGCGGGUGAUCUGCCUUUAGGUUGGGGAUAGCCGUUAGAAAUAGCGGGUAAUACCGAAUGAGGUGGUAUGACUGAGGUCAUAUCAAGAAAGGAGCUACGGCUCCGCCUGAAGAUGAGCCCGCGGCCCAUUAGCUAGUUGGGGGUGUAACGGACCACCAAGGCGAUGAUGGGUAGCCGGCCUGAGAGGGUGAACGGCCACACUGGGACUGAGAUACGGCCCAGACUCCUACGGGAGGCAGCAGCUAAGAAUAUUCCGCAAUGGACGAAAGUCUGACGGAGCGACGCCGCGUGGAUGAGGAAGGCCGAAGGGUUGUAAAGUCCUUUUGUCGAUGAAGAAUAAGCGUGGGAGGGAAUGCCUGCGUGAUGACGUUAGUCGGCGAAUAAGCCCCGGCUAAUUACGUGCCAGCCGCCGCGGUAAAAC